rnacentral:rRNA from 1 species
UACGAAGGGUGCUAGCGUUGCUCGGAAUCACUGGGCGUAAAGCGCACGUAGGCGGCUUUUCAAGUCAGGGGUGAAAUCCUGGAGCUCAACUCCAGAACUGCCUUUGAUACUGAAGAGCUCGAGUCCGGGAGAGGUGAGUGGAACUGCGAGUGUAGAGGUGAAAUUCGUAGAUAUUCGCAAGAACACCAGUGGCGAAGGCGGCUCACUGGCCCGGUACUGACGCUGAGGUGCGAAAGCGUGGGGAGCAAACAGG